ACUUUUAGCUGAACGGUCGUACAGUCAAGAACUGAGUCACGCAGCUCCGCGAAACUCCAGCGUUUUUCUCCGUUGCUCCGUCGUUGAUGGUCGUCAGGAAGGGCUUACGAGGCACGGACACAUUUCAGACACAGGUCCAGCACGGCGUCAGACGCUACUGCACAGCACCCUGGAACGAGUCAUGGUGACCUUGACAGCGCCACGGGCAGGGGACGCGUUGGCGGGGACGGCGAACCGUCUCACGGCCACCUGCCACGAGAUCCCAGCUGUCGACUGCACUGCUACAAGGGCGGCGUAAUCCACACCACGCCCAGCUGGCGGCGAACGGCUCCUCGACGAGACAGUACCUGCUGAUGGCGGCGGCGGUGUUCCUGGUCCGACAUCGGGACGUUUCACGACUAGCGUGGGACGUCGGAGUUGGGUCCUUACACAGUCGUUGCGUAUGCGGUUAGUUCACACACACUUUCAAGGCGCACUCACACGGGCGUCCUUAACUAUAGCUCGGGCUUAACUCUUAAAUUUCACCUCUUCAAAACAACAAUGUCCUAUCUGUGCUUUCCAGUUGUAGCCUCGGGUCACCUCGAACAUAACCAUUCAGCCACAAAUAACCAUUUAAAAUGUUAGAUAACAUUUCUUUUGUUUACCUAUUUGCUCUUAAACAUAGCAAUUAUUUUCAGUUAAUUUUCUUGUAUUAUUAUUGAUUUGAUUACAACUAAUUUCAGUAAUAGUGCUUGAUUACAUUUCCUAUUGCAAUACUAAUUAAUAACAAUUGACAUUGUUUCAUAUCAUGUAUAACAAGUUGCUUUGAGAUUAAUUCUCAAACUAUUUAGUUACUAAUGGUAAUUUACUAAAGCAAAGGCUUAUUUACAUUUUGCUCUUGGGCUUAGAAAUUAUAUACAAGAGUAUUCUAACACAUCAUAUAACAUUAUCAUUCAUAAAUUUCAUGUCACUAUGACCACAUGAAUAGUUACAAUGUCAUUAAAUGACUUAUUAUUACAAUAAUAAUAGCUCAUUUCAUAAAAUUUAUUUCAUGUUAUUUUAUCUUAUAACAUAAUUACUUAAAUUCAAAUUCUGCAGACUUGCAGACAAUAAUAGUGUAUUAAUAUGUUUUUGUACCAUCAGUACAUACUGUGCUUUCACAUAACACAUAUCUUGCAAGUUUCAAUAAGUUUUUUUUUUGUUUCCAUUUCACUGUUGAUGUGAAAUUAUAAUUUUAGGAUAUUAGUCUGACUGAUUUCAUCACACUUUGUUGACACUUGUUACACACUUUGGCCACAGGCAACAACUGGGUAGCACAGAAAAUCAUUUCCUCUUGCUCGCGACACCAGUGUUCCAUGUUCUGUAUCACAGCCAGAAGAAUAGACCCCAACAAGUAGGUCGUUUGAAACUUCAAGAAAUGAUAAAUUUCGUGUGACAACAACAAAAUUAGUGUGUGAAGUAUAUACAACCAUGUUGUAUUUCUUUUCAGUGGCAAAUUUAAAAUAAAUUAAGCUACAGCUUAAUGUUCAAAUUUAAA